UGGCGGCGAUUAUGCGGAAAUGAAAUUGAAUGUUACUUCGAACACGUUCUUCUACAAAAUAACCGACCUGUAUUUAGUGCUAUUGCUUUAACAUCAAUCGAAGCAAAAAUGGCAUCAAUGUAUGCGUCUAAAAAUGUUAAAUUUAGAUGGAGACAAUCCAGAAAUGAGCUGCCAGGAAGUGAUCGAUUUCGGACACGAAGAUUGAGAAGUGCCUGGAUACAAGGCUAGUAUUGUUAACAUCAUCUGAUACAAUCAACUGGAACAAAGCUGAAAUGGCUGCCUGACCUGACUUAAAAAUUGGAUGGCAGUACAUCAGACUAGAAGAUUACAAGUACUGAGGUGGACAAAAUGAAACCUGAGCCUACCAAAGCUGACAGAUUGCACAAGAAACACAUAAAUGCAGAUUGGAAGAUUCAUUCUCUGAAAAGUAGAAAAGGGCAUGUUACAUACUGUUAUCACUGCCAUGACAGAAACCAUAUUGAGGAGCUGGUCCACCUGUAGGAAGAAUUGCGUUAUUGGCUGGAGCAGCACUAUUACCCAGCCAUACACCAUCACUUAGUUUGUCAUAGGGAGCAUUUCUGAGCAGUUAUGGAGACCACUAACUAUGCAGUUGUUGCAGUGAAACUUAAACCAGUGUGUUUUCUGUGGAGAUAAAGAGAUAGUGUCCAGCAAUGAAGACCCAACUCAAGAUCUGACCUUGUAAGGCCAAUAUGAAAUAACUGUGUGGGAAAAUGGGAAAAACCUGCAGUCAGGAAUGCACGGAAAUCAUCAAAAGAACAGUGUUAAAUUAAUCUUGAAUAACUUGACAUUUAUUUUGUUUGACAUAUUUAUUCAUGGUGCAGUGAAAACAUUCUUUUUUUCUCAUGGUUAUUUAAAUUUAGAAUUGAUAGGAGGGAACAUCACUAUGUAGUUUCAUGUUCAUAGUCAGAUCAAAACCCAUGUACAUGGCCAAAUGAGCAUUCGAAAAUAUCAAAAUGGUACUUGUUGUAUGUCUGUCUGACAGUAGACCAAAGCUUUUCCGGGUGAUA